rnacentral:rRNA from 1 species
CUCUAUGGCAAUACCACCCUGAAUGUGCCUGGUCUGGUCUUGUCUGAGGUUAAAAGCUAAGCACUGUUGGAUCUGGUUAGUACUUGAAUGGGAGAUCCCCUGGGGAAUACCAGGUGCUGUAGGCU